GACGAACGCUGGCGGCGUGCUUAACACAUGCAAGUCGAGCGGUAAGGCCCUUUCGGGGGUACACGAGCGGCGAACGGGUGAGUAACACGUGGGUGACCUGCCCUCAGCUCUGGGAUAAGCCUGGGAAACCGGGUCUAAUACUGGAUAUGACUCCAUGACGCAUGUUGUGGGGUGGAAAGCCUUGUGCGGCUGAGGAUGGGCCCGCGGCCUAUCAGCUUGUUGGUGGGGUGAUGGCCUACCAAGGCGACGACGGUAGCCGGCCUGAGAGGCGACCGGCCACACUGGGACUGAGACACGGCCCAGACUCCUACGGGAGGCAGCAGUGGGGAAUCUUGCGCAAUGGGCGAAAGCCUGACGCAGCGACGCCGCGUGAGGGAUGACGGCC
rnacentral:rRNA from 1 species